rnacentral:rRNA from 1 species
UACGUAGGGUGCGAGCGUUAAUCGGAAUUACUGGGCGUAAAGCGUGCGCAGGCGGUUCGUUGUGUCGGCGGGGAAAGCCCCGGGCUUAACCUGGGAAUGGCCGUCGAAACUGGCGAACUGGAGUGUGGCAGAGGGGGGUGGAAUUCCGCGUGUAGCAGUGAAAUGCGUAGAGAUGUGGAGGAAUACCGAUGGCGAAGGCAGCCCCCUGGGAUAACACUGACGCUCAUGCACGAAAGCGUGGGGAGCAAACAGG